GGCAAGGGCCUCGGCGAACCUUUCCCGAAUAUUCUUCCCGUUGUCCCCAACGCACCGCUUUUAUAACGCGAACUCGCGGCGUUCUCAACCGGCGAGAAGCCUCCGAAUAGGCCGGCCAUGGCUCGACAGACGAGCAGCAUCACAAGGCAAUUAGGACCGCACACCGGCGCCGCCACCGCCACCGCCACCACAACCCUAACCCUAGAUCAGACCGCUCCAUCGCCAUCUUCUUCGUCGCAGCAACAGCCGCCACAAUCUAUAACUCUGCGGCUCAACCGCAAGAAGAAGAAGGUAACGUGGAAGGAAGGCACCGUCGACAACGAGUUCCUCAACAAGAAGAGCUCCAAGAAAUGCUGUAUUUUCCACAAAGACAAGCCGUUCGACGAGGACGACAGCGACGACGAUGGCGACUGCAGUGAUCGUUCGGACAAGGGCCGUGACCACGGUCGCGGUCACGGUCUCGAUCACGAUCACGAUCCCGAUCACGGCGCCGACGGCUGCUGUUCUGGCAAUAAUGGAGGAAAUUGAUGUAAAAUUUGGGGGUGAUCGGUUUUAAAAUUGACGCCCUUUCUGUUCGAGAUUUCCUUUGAUCUCGCAAAUUGCUAAGGGGAUCGAGUAUUGCUUGUGCCUAAAUUCCUUAGCAUGCAAGCCUGUUAUCUGCAGGAUUGCUUGGUUUGUUAUUGAUGGAUCUUUUAUUAUGUGAAACACUUGAGUAUUCUGCCAUUGAGUCUCUUGCCGCAUCCUUUUGCUCCCAUGUCACUUAGCUGCCCAGAAG